rnacentral:rRNA from 1 species
UACCAGCACCCCGAGUGGUCGGGACGUUUUAUUGGGCCUAAAGCAUCCGUAGCCGGUUCUACAAGUCUUCCGUUAAAUCCAACUGCUUAACAGGUGGGCUGCGGAAGAUACUAUAGAGCUAGGAGGCGGGAGAGGCAAGCGGUACUCGGAUGGGUAGGGGUAAAAUCCGUUGAUCCAUUGAAGACCACCAGUGGCGAAGGCGGCUUGCCAGAACGCGCUCGACGGUGAGGGAUGAAAGCUGGGGGAGCAAACCGGAGUUAGAAACCCCCGGUAGUCCC